rnacentral:rRNA from 1 species
GAUACUAAGCCAUGCGAGUCAUUGUAGUAAUACAAGGCAUACGGCUCAGUAACGCGUAGUCAACCUAACCUAUGGACGGGAAUAACCUCGGGAAACUGAGUAUAAUGCCCGAUAGAACAUUAUGCCUGGAAUGGUUUAUGUUCCAAAUGAUUUAUCGCCGUAGGAUGGGACUGCGGCCUAUCAGUUUGUUGGUGAGGUAAUGGCCCACCAAGACUAUUACAGGUACGGGCUCUGAGAGGAGUAGCCCGGAGAUGGGUACUGAGACACGGACCCAGGCCCUAUGGGGCGCAGCAGGCGAGAAAACUUUGCAAUGUGCGAAAGCACGACAAGGUUAAUCCGAGUGGUUUCUGCUAAAGGAACCUUUUGUUAGUCCUAGAAACACUAACGAAUAAGGGGUGGGCAAGUUCUGGUGUCAGCCGCCGCGGUAAAACCAGCACCUCAAGUGGUCAGGAUGAUUAUUGGGCCUAAAGCAUCCGUAGCCGGAUCUGUAAGUUUUCGGUUAAAUCUGUACGCUCAACGUACAGGCUGCCGGGAAUACUGCAGAUCUAGGGAGUGGGAGAGGUAGACGGUACUCGGGAGGAAGGGGUAAAAUCCUUUGAUCUCUCGAUGACCACCUGUGGCGAAGGCGGUCUACCAGAACACGUCCGACGGUGAGGGAUGAAAGCUGGGGGAGCAAACCGGAUUAGAUACCCGGGUAGUCCCAGCUGUAAACUAUGCAAACUCAGUGAUGCAUUGACUUGUGG